CUAAUAUUGAAUAUUAAAUUUAUUGUUUAUUAUAUAUAUGUAUAAUUUUGGUUAUUAUUUAUUUAAUUAAGGUUUUAAAUUUUUAUUCUUUAAUUUUUUUUUAUUAUUUUUUUAUUAUAUGUGAUGAAGAAGGGGAAGGAAAAUGAGAAUUGUGGGAACAACACCUUGUAUAUGAGAAUUUCAAACCAUUGUACUAGAUCCACAGGAAUUCUAUUUCAAAUAAAAGUUGUCAAGAGUCUUUGGAAUUCUAUAAAAGUCUAUAAAAAUUUUAAAAUAAAAGUUAAUAGAAGUCUAUGACUUUUACUAAUUCCAUAUAAAUCUAUAAAAGAUCCAAGAAAUCCAUAGAAGUCAUCACUUAAAAAAGUCUUAUCAAAGUCUUCAAAAGUCCUAAUUGAAUAUACCCUCCCCGAAGGUGUUCUUAUAUUUUUCAUUUUAGACAACAUUUCAUAUUCCAUUUACUUUACCUUUAUUCUGCGGGUCAUAAAAUGUUUUUACAUUUUUAUGGACAAUUAUCCAAUCUAGUAUUAACAAAAAACUAUCCAAACCAAUAAAACUAAACUUUUAUGAUAGUUAGAUGAAACGUGAUAAAUAUGAUAUUAUAAAUUGAAGGAUCCAUGCCAUUGAAAAUCUGUGUGUGUGUGAGGGGUGUGAGAGAGAGCCCUGUACUCAUAAUCACAAGUUGAAAUAGUUCCAAGUGUAGUCCUUUUACUUCCUAAUUUCAUUGACAUUUAUUACUUUGUAGGCUACCUUUACUGCAACUACUCUGGCCUUGUUAUGGUUACCUAGUGAAUCGUCAAGAUAAGAGGAAAAUGGAGGAACUUAACUACAUAGCUUGUACUUGCCUUAAACCCUGGCAGACUGCUUAAGAUUUUGUUGAUUCAACUCACUGUAUGACAGAUAUAUAUAAUGUGUUGCGGUAUAGAGCUACCUUGUUUCUUUUUCAGUUGUUCAGAAGCUAAAUGCCACAUUGUUUGACAUAGUAGCGUGUGUAUGUGUUUCUUAUUUAAGUUAAACCAAGUGAUUUGGAUGGAACUGUGUUGGUAGGAUUUCAGUAAGUUUGGCAGUAUUUUUGCUGGACUUAAAUGAUCGUCAAUUCAUCAUGGGCAUCGAGGUGUACUUCAUCCAGGUUGCAUUAUCUUAUACUUUUUUUUUUUUAAUAAUCAUUUGAUUGAAUGGACUAACAAUGACCAGUAUAAGACCAGCGAUAUAUGAACCGUUUUGUUUGGGAGGAUUGCUUGUCACUCUGCAAUUAUUUUCCUAAAGUUUCCAACAGAUUGUCACCGACUUGGCAUUGUGAAAUAUUAAAUUUAUAUUAGCUUAAAAUAAUGUCUCAUUUUUGGACUAUUUUGACCAAAGUAGUGAAAUACGUCCAUUUAUACUCGACAUUGGUCUUUUUGUUUGGAGUUAUGGUGGAGGCUAUAUUGGGCUCUAGUGGAGUUUAGCUUGCAUCUUAUGGUGAGUCAUUCUUCUCAAAUUAUUUUGGGCUAUGGUGUUAGAAAAGGAGGAAAAAUCUAAUAGUGGUUUUAUAGUUGUCAUUCCUUUAGUGCUUUGACAGCAAGACAAGAACUUUUCUGCAACGAUCUUCCGCCUACUGCUCAUGGGAUUGGUGGUUUUUAUGUUAUCUUUAUGUUUUUAUUGGAGUUCAAUUCUUGUUUUUUGCUUAUGUAUAGAAUCUCUCGUCCUCAAAUGAUAUGCGUUCUUAGGAGAAUUCUAGAAGCAAAAGGUGUAAUUUAGAAUUUGUCAUGUCUAUGAGAGCGGUCCCCUUGCGAAUUUUCUUUCAUGCAUUCAUGAGAAUGUUACUUCAUUGCCUUUAUCAAUAAAAACACGAAGCUGAAAAUUGCCUUCUGUUUUAAGCUUUUCAGAGUCCUAACUAUGUCCCUCCCCUCCUCCCCUCCUCCCACUUUUCCUUCCCUCCUUCUAGGCUUGACAGUUCAGUUUUAUUGUUUUUGUACAUUUAGCUAAGUCGUGGGUAUUAUACAAAUUUGUUGAAUGUAGGUUUUGCGGUAACUUGAGUUAUCAAAUUUUAUUCACCGUCCUGUGCUUUUUUAUAUGCAUAUUAGGGGCUAUGCUGAGUUUGUUAGAAUUAUUCCGAUGUCCUGAAGUACUGAAUUGCUAGUGGAGUUGGAGAUUCCUUGAAAUUUAGGAAGUGAUUAUUAAUUGGUUCUUUGCAGAGCCUUUGAAGUCCUAAUUGCAUUGUUUUAUGCUGUCUAAUCGAAGAAUUGAUGCCCAAGGGAUUUGGCAGUGUAUUUUAGUUAGUUCUUGACUUUCAGAAAGUUAGACCAGCACUAAGCUUUUGAAAAUAGUUUCUUUGAUUGAGUCUUAGCCUGUGCAAUUCUUUUUCCAUGCGAUGAGCCAUCUGAAUUGAAUCCCAUUAUUAUUAUUUUUUUUAAUUUUUAUUUAUUAUUUUUUUUCUUCAGUAACAGGAAUGGUUAGAACUUGAAUUUUUCAUCGAAGCUUGUGGGAGAAGAUCUCCACACUGUGUCCUCCAACAUUUAUGUUAAAAACUUCUUUUGCCUGUAAUUGCAUUUUGAGGACAUCAGGUUCCCAUUUAACCUAGAUGACAACAGGCUACAUAGUACAAUGUCAUUGUCGUGGCAAAAAUUGAAUCAGAAGUUUCGUGUGUGCAUGCUCAUCUUCAAUCUUUUAUGUCUUCUCAGAUCUGAUUUUGUUCUAUUAAUAGUUGGAUUCACAAUGCUAAUGGAUCUUUUCAUCAUAUUGUGCUAUCCAAAUAAUCCAUGUCGGAACCUAGGAACUCACUGUAACUGGUUUUUGGUGGAGAUGAUGGAUCUUGUAGGAUUCUGAAAACGAUUUUUCAUUUUCUUCCGGAAGCAUAUGAUUAAGCAUUCAUUCCUCACAUUCUGUGAUUAUGAAGAAGGAAAAUGCCCAAUGUACAGGGCAUUUUCUCACAGAGCUUUUACAGGAAAGACACAUGGGGGUGGGCCCCAUGUGAAUAUUUUAUUGAGGUGUGUGUAUUCUCUGAAGUACCUGUAUGUUUUUCCUCUGUAAGUGUAGCACAAUUCUAUGAAGAAAUUGCAGAUCUAUUCACUUUAUCAUUUACAGAAGAUGGAUAUGGUUUAUUUUAUGGGGUUUUCCUGUUCUGUUGAUUCCUUGGAACUAGUUGGACGUAAUAAUUCACUUGUUGCACCAUUCGUGUUUUACAAUUGGUUGCUGCUGCACGAAUUGGUGUUUCUUCAAUCUUAUUGAUUAGAGAAAACUAUUGCAUUUCAUUCUCCUGACGUUUAUAUUUCAAACUAUGCCAUAUACUCUAUAUACAUGGCCCGCAGACAUAAAAUGAGUUCCACUGUAGAAUGCAUCACGCUGGGAAUAGUACUUUGACACAGGAUAAGUGUCAUGAAUUGUUGUGGACUGCUUGGUGAAGAAAACCUGUUUAAAUUGGUAUAAUAAGAGAGUAUAGGAAAACUUACGACUGUCAAAUGUUGUAAGUUCUCUUUCACGGCGUUCAUUUUGGGUUCCUUGUAUUUGCCUUUCUAAAAUUGCCUGUCCUCUCAUUGAGCGUAUAAGGAGAGGUUAUUUUUCUGGAGUUUUGCAUUACUAUCUGGUCCAGAGUUUCUCUGUCUAAUACUUAUGUGAAGUAUGAGAGUAUGAAUCACAAUAAUCAAGUAAGUUUAUGUUAAAAUAUGAAUCCAUGCAUGGGAGGGAGAAGGGACAACAUAUCUAAUAAUAUGAUGACACAGAUUUUAUCUGCUGGUUGUUCAUGACUAAACAUUAUGUCUUGAUUUAAGAAGUAUAUUUCUGUUUAAAUGCUCCAUCUGACCAUUGUAUAAUCUCUAAUUGUCGUCAGAUUAAGUGCAGGAAAUAAACAUACCAAUUAUGUAUCUAUUGAUGGCUUUCCCCUGCCUUUUGUUGUGUUUUUCCUAUUUAGUAUGUCGUCGAAUCAACUUCACCAAACAUGUCAUAGUUACGUCCUUCGUUCAUUGUUUCACCUGCCUCUUAUUUGGCUUUUCAUACAGAUAAAACGGAGACUACAGAAGACAGAUUCAUGUGCAAGCAACCUGCAUGAACCCUUACCUUAGCACGGCAUUGAGGAUGUCUGCUGAGAAACUGAAAGAAUUAGAGGAAAGAAAAUUUCUUUUUGUCAAUGUUCGGCUAAAAGCUUUAAAAGAAAGGUAAAAGUGACUUUCAUUUUCGAAUGUGUUUGAAUUAAAAGUGGCCCGUGUUCAAGGAAGGCCCA
rnacentral:lncRNA from 1 species